rnacentral:rRNA from 1 species
GGUGAACGCUGGCGGCGUGCUUAAGACAUGCAAGUCGAACGCGGUCUUCGGACCGAGUGGCGCACGGGUGAGUAACACGUAACUGACCUACCCAGAAGUCAUGAAUAACUGGCCGAAAGGUCAGCUAAUACGUGAUGUGGUGAUUUGCCGUGGCAAAUCACUAAAGAUUUAUCGCUUCUGGAUGGGGUUGCGUUCCAUCAGCUGGUUGGUGGGGUAAAGGCCUACCAAGGCGACGACGGAUAGCCGGCCUGAGAGGGUGGCCGGCCACAGGGGCACUGAGACACGGGUCCCACUCCUACGGGAGGCAGCAGUUAGGAAUCUUCCACAAUGGGCGCAAGCCUGAUGGAGCGACGCCGCGUGAGGGAUGAAGGUUUUCGGAUCGUAAACCUCUGAAUCUGGGACGAAAGAGCCUUCGGGCAGAUGACGGUACCAGAGUAAUAGCACCGGCUAACUCCGUGCCAGCCGCCGCUGUAAAAC